UACGUAGGGAGCAAGCGUUGUCCGGAAUCACUGGGCGUAAAGGGUGCGUAGGCGGGUCUUUAAGUCAGGGGUGAAAUCCUGGAGCUCAACUCCAGAACUGCCUUUGAUACUGAGGAUCUUGAGUUCGGGAGAGGUGAGUGGAACUGCGAGUGUAGAGGUGAAAUUCGUAGAUAUUCGCAAGAACACCAGUGGCGAAGGCGGCUCACUGGCCCGAUACUGACGCUGAGGCACGAAAGCGUGGGGAGCAAACAGG
rnacentral:rRNA from 1 species